GACGAACGCUGGCGGCGUGCUUAACACAUGCAAGUCGAACGGUGAACCUCUUCGGAGGGGAUCAGUGGCGAACGGGUGAGUAACACGUGGGCAACCUGCCCCCGGCUCUGGGAUAACUCCAAGAAAUUGGGGCUAAUACCGGAUGUUCACCGCUUCCCGCAUGGGUGGUGGUCAAAAGGGUUUCCGGCUGGGGAUGGGCCCGCGGCCUAUCAGCUUGUUGGUGGGGUAGUGGCCUACCAAGGCGACGACGGGUAGCCGGCCUGAGAGGGUGACCGGCCACACUGGGACUGAGACACGGCCCAGACUCCUACGGGAGGCAGCAGUGGGGAAUAUUGCGCAAUGGGCGGAAGCCUGACGCAGCGACGCCGCGUGGGGGAUGACGGCCUUCGGGUUGUAAACCUCUUUCAGCAGGGACGAAGCGCAAGUGACGGUACCUGCAGAAGAAGCACCGGCCAACUACGUG
rnacentral:rRNA from 1 species